UGAGUACUCACUGCGUCCCAAUUUUUUUGUUUUAGAUUUAUAUAGAUAUGAAUGUAUCUAGAUACAUUCAUUUCUAGACAAACCUAAGAUAAAAUUUUUGGGACGAAGGAAGUACUUG
rnacentral:pre_miRNA from 1 species